AUGGUGUCAAUGUUAAAGAACAUUCAUGACAAGAUAUCUCACAGAAUUGUUUCCAAACAAAAAGAAUCAGAUAAGUGGACUGGGAGACUCUGCCCAAAGAUCCAGAAAAAGCUUGAUAAAUAUGUUGAAUGGGCUGCUCAUUGUAUGGUUCAAGAAGCUGGUAGAGGAGUUUUCCAGGUGACAUCCUUCAAAAACAUUUAUUUGGUGGAUCUGAAUAUGAACAACUGUGAAUGCAAAAAGUGGGAGUUGUCUGGCAUCCCAUGCCAUCAUUCCGUAGCUUGUUUCAGACAUGAAAGAAUUGAACCGGAAAGCAUGGUCCAUAUGUGCUAUACCGUGGAGAGUUAUAGAAAGGCAUAUGCUUAUAACAUAAUGCCAUUAAGGGACAAAGCUAGAUGUGAAAAAAUGUAUGGCACUAUUGUGUAUCCACCUUUGUACACGAAAGUCAUGGGGAGGCCGAAGAAAAAUAGGAAGAAAGAUCCAGAAGAGAAAAAGGACAAGCAUGGAGGGUUGAAGCUUCCCAAACAUGGAUCCACAAUGCACUGUUCCAUAAGUGGAGCACCUGAUCAUAACAAAAAGGGCCAUUACAAGCAUGAGAAUGUCAUUCCAAAUGAAGAAGUAGCUCAAGCAGGAGAAGAUUAUGAUGAUCCGUCCAUCAUCGAUGAUAUAAUGCCGCAUACUGUGCAUGCUGAUUUGGAUCCGACUCAAACUCCUGGCUCUAUGAUUUUCAUGAUGCAAGAACAGGAGAGGUUCACAUAUCCACCUGUCAGGGACUUUGGUCCACUGCCAGAAUCCACUUUCAUUGCUAAUGCAAGGGCUGAGAUUCCAUCUGCCAGAGUGACAACAGCUAUGUCAAGGGGAAGGCAACAAUCAACAAGAAGAGGAACAGGAGGGGCUGGGAGAGGAACAAGAGGAGGGGCUGGUGCUGGCAGAGGAACAAUAAGAGGGGCUGGGAGGGGAACAAGAGGAGGUGCUGCAAGAGGGGCAAGUGCAACUACUACAAGAGGAGCAAAUGCAAAUGCUAGAAGAGGAGCAAGUCCAACUAAUGCUAGACGAGCAAGAGCAGCAGCUCCUUGCUUCUACAACCUCCCUCUUGGAGAUGACGUGGAUAAUGUUACAGGAACAGGAACUUCAAGAGGACCAAAUUAUGUCCAAGCAGAGGAAGAGGUUGUGUUCACACAGAAUGCACAACUAGAUGAUGAUUGGCAGCAUUUUCUCUCACUAUAG
rnacentral:rRNA from 1 species